rnacentral:rRNA from 1 species
CGGUGGAGCAUGUGGUUUAAGUUCGAAGCAACGCGAAGAACCUUAACCUAGGUCGUUGACAUCCCGAUGCUAUUCUAGAGAUAGAAAGUAACUUCGGUACAUCGGUGACAGGUGGUGCAUGGUUGUCGUCAGCUCGUGUCGUGAGAUGUUGGGUUAAGUCCCGCAACGAGCGCAACCCCUAUUGUUAGUUGCCAUCAUUCAGUUGGGCACUCUAGCGAGACUGCCGGUAAUAAACCGGAGGAAGGUGGGGAUGACGUCAAAUCAUCAUGCCCCUUAUGACCUGGGCUACACACGUGCUACAAUGGUUGGUACAACGAGUUGCGAGUCGGUGACGGCGAGCUAAUCUCUUAAAGCCAAUCUCAGUUCGGAUUGUAGGCUGCAACUCGCCUACAUGAAGUCGGAAUCGCUAGUAAUCGCGGAUCAGCACGCCGCGGUGAAUACGUUCCCGGGCCUU